rnacentral:rRNA from 1 species
GCGGCGAACGGGUGAGUAACACGUGGGCAACCUGCCCCGGACACUGGGAUAACUCAGGGAAACCUGGGCUAAUACCGGAUACCUCGGCGUGAUCGCAUGGUCGUGCCGGGAAAGCCCUGACGGUCCGGGAUGGGCCCGCGGCCUAUCAGCUUGUUGGUGGGGUAACGGCCUACCGAGGCGGCGACGGGUAGCUGGUCUGAGAGGACGGCCAGCCACACUGGGACUGAGACACGGCCCAGACUCCUACGGGAGGCAGCAGUAGGGAAUCUUGCGCCAAUGCGCGAAAGCGUGACGCAGCGACGCCGCAUGCGGGAUGAAGGCCCUCGGGUCGUAAACCGCUUUCGGCAGGGACGAAGCGAAAGUGACGGUACCUGCAGAAGAAGUCCCGGCUAACUACGUGCCAGCAGCCGCGGUAACACGUAGGGGACGAGCGUUGUCCGGAUUCAUUGGGCGUAAAGCGCGCGUAGGCGGCUCGGAGAGUCGGUCGUGAAAUCCUGGGGCUCAACCCCGGAACUGCGUCCGAUACUUCCGAGCUGGAGGCAGUAGGGGAGAUCGGAAUUCCUGGUGUAGCGGUGAAAUG